UACGGAGGGGGCUAGCGUUGUUCGGAAUUACUGGGCGUAAAGCGCGCGUAGGCGGACCUGCAAGUCGGGGGUGAAAGCCCGAGGCUCAACCUCGGAACUGCCUUCGAUACUGCGGGUCUCGAGUCCGGGAGAGGUGAGUGGAAUUCCUAGUGUAGAGGUGAAAUUCGUAGAUAUUAGGAAGAACACCAGUGGCGAAGGCGAGUCCCUGGACAACACCUGACACUGAGGCACGAAAGCUAGGGGAGCAA
rnacentral:rRNA from 1 species